AGUUCGUGGUGUGGGCACUUCUUUAGCAUCGUCUUGAAACACUCCCACGCCUUAUGAAGGGUUUCACCUUCAUAUUAUUUAAAAUUAGUUAUUUCUCGUUGAAGUU
rfam:Gossypium raimondii chromosome 5, whole genome shotgun sequence.